rnacentral:lncRNA from 1 species
GAAACACUGCUGCAGGUUCAUGUUCUCAUAUGUUUUAUCACAUCUUUAUGUUUCAUCUUCUCAGCACAGAAAAGUCUAACAAGGUGAUUUUCAUCAUAUUUUCCUGAUCAGACUUUCCUGGAGAGAAGACUGAGAGAUGUAAUGACUGAAGUUCAGGACAAGUUCUGGAUCGGACUGACAGACUCAGCAGUAGAGGGCAGAUGGGUGUGGGUGGACGGAUCACCACUGAAUGAAAGGCUGCAGUUUUGGAGUGGCAAAGAGCCAGACAAUGUGUGAGCAUGGGAGAAAAAGGUGGAGCUGAUGAUCUGAAGUGUUGGUUUGAUGUACUUUGCUCAAAGCCUCACAGAAGUAUUUGUGAGAAAGCAGCAGUAACUGGACAGUUUCAAAAAGUAUGUGACUGAAAUUCAGUCUAUUAAACACCAGAGUGGAGUGAUGCAGUAACGUCACAAACAAAAAAAAUUAAUAUAUUAAAAGGAGGGGGGGGGAAAGGGGGCCCCCCCCCCCCCCCCCAAAAAAAAAUAAUUAACAUAUUAAAAAAUGUAACAUUUUGCAUCUGAUAAUUUUUUUUCUUUUUUGAUCUGAUUAAUAUAAACAUGAAAUGUGGGAGCAUUUCUAAAAUUAAUUUAAGUGUUUUCAAAUGCUCUUUUGUUAUUUACAAAUAUCCCAAAACAUUUUAGACUCCCCUGAAUGAAUGAAUACUUCACUCAACUACAGAAGAAACUAUGAAUUAUUAUUAUCAGUUUUGCAGGAGAAAGGACGAAAGGAAGAAAUGUUGUGUUAAAAUGGAGCAAUUAAUAGAUGUUAGUGUGAAUAAAAGGAGUAACUAAUCAUUUCAGUGUUUGAUAUUUUAUCUGGAUACAACUGAUUAGUCUGACACUUGGUAGAAGUGUUAAUUACUAAUAAACAGAGAAACACUUAAAUUGACAGUUUAUGGCCUUGUAUUGCUCAAAGAAGCGAACAAACAAGCAAACAAACAAAAAGUACUGUGACAAACUUAAAUUAGUAGCAGCAUUUCUUGUCAUAAAUCAUGACCUGUGUGGAGUUUAGCAGGAAAUAUUUGCUCUUUAGAGAACCAUCAACCAUCAUUCAAAAAAAGUGCGCAGCUGGCUAAUAUUACAGCUCAGCUGAGGGGGACACCAUCAAUGUUUACAUCCUGUCACACGAUCAGCGGCAUGACCUUCACCUCACAUGUAGAUAUGUAGGCAAUUCCACUACAGCACUACAGUCUAGAGGAACGGCAUCUGUUGGUUUAAUUUUCUGAUUCUGCUGCUUUAUACUGAACUGAUGUUAAUGUUACUGUGUCCACUUUCUGCACUUUGCUGAACUCUUACAUCUGUAUCUCCUCUAAAUGUUAAUUAGGUGAAACUCUCGAUGCUCUUUAGUUAAAACUAGAGGGUCAGAGAUGGUAAAUAAGACCAGUGAGCCUUUUUCUGCUUGAUAAGUGGAUCACUGCUGGUUUUCCCACUCUGUAAUGGGCCUCACCUGAGGUUAUGUGAAAUCCACAAAACAUUUCACUGUCCUAUUUUAAUGAAACUCUCUCUAAUUGAUGUGUACCUUUAAGGCUAACACACACACACACACACACACACACACACACACACACACCUCACACACGCACACACACACACACACACACACACACACACGCACACACACACUGUGUUAAAUUAAUUUUUUUAAAGUGUCUCUUCUGUUGGUUAACAACUUUUCUAGUUUCUUUAAGUUUAUUUUUAACUAAACUUUUUGUUGUAAAAAAUAUUUGAGUGUUUCAACAGCACAGGUACAACUGCAACUUCAAAAAAUCAAUAAUGUUUAUCAAAUGAUAUAAUACAGUUAUCGGUGUUUUCUUUUAAGCAAACUCUUCACAGUUGUUUUAAAUAUUAAAUAUUAUGCGCACUAAUAGUAAUAUUAGUGUGCUGACAACUUUUGACAUCUGAAGUGAAAAUGAAACAAAUCAAAGACUUUAUAUAUAUAAAACAAAUCAAAGACUUUGUAUAUAUAUGUGUGCAAGAAAGAUAAAAAGUCAGCUGUGUACCAGCCUGACUUCUGCACAACACAACUGAUGGUCCCAAACCCAUUAAGAAGCCAUCUGAAAGAAGGCCAAGAGUUUACAGCGCUGUCAACAAAGUAAAGGGUGUCUACAUUCAGAAAUCUAAAAUAUAAGAUAUGUUUAGAGUUAUUUGUCAUUUUUUCUUUGCUAACUAGUUGGCUGUUCUAGCUUGUUGUGUUGUUACCUAUUGUUUGUUGUCCUGUUUUAUAUUGUUUUGUUUUAAUUGUCUCAUGCCUUUACUGACUGUGAAGCAUUAUGGUCAACAUUGUUGUUUUAA